GAAAAUAUUUAAAUAACAUUAGAGGAGAAUUAAGUAUAUACCAAAGUGUGAGUUUUUUUUUUUUAAAGGAGAUUGUAAAUCACUUAAGAUUGAUCUACUUUUCCCCCCUCUUUAUUUAGGUAGCCUGACGACCUGACCCCACUAGGUUUUACGUUGUUUGGUUUCCUAGCAUUUUUGUCCCACAUUAAGCUGAACUUCAACAUCCACCAGUAUAACAGACAGCACAGUUGCUACUUGCAACUGGACUGAAAAGCCAGUCACAUCCCAAUUCUUCAUUAAAUAAGUUACCUCUGGAGGUUCUUAGUCUGUAUUAUGGAUCGUGAGGCCAACAGUCACAAAACAUACCCAAGAGAAAACACAAGAGUGAGACAGAGUCUUCGUUAAACACCUAGUGAAGAUGGCCAUCUCAUGGUUUAUGUCGUUUCAAGAAACUACUGUCCUUGGAGCAAGAGAUCACAAUUGUGCAUACGUUCUUACACUUUUCCUAGAGAUUCUCAACAGACAGUCCAGCCUAGGAAACCAAGCAGUCUGUAUGCUACAUUUUGCCCCAUGUUAUUUGGGGCAAGGGUGAUGGGAGAAAGUUCUGGCCUCAGGAUUCAGAGACUGCUCUGCUGUGAGGAGUCCUUCUGCACUGCCAGAUUUUUUUCACCCUUUUUUUCCCGGGUGCAAGACCAGCCACCUCCUUCUACACUCUUUUCUUCCCUACUCUCCCGAAACUCAGAUUCCAUCAAUUAAAAACCCAUUUAGUUAAUGUUCCCGCUUAUCUUUCCUUUCUUUUUUUUUCUUUUAUUUUCUUACUGAAUUAAGUUAUUGCUAUAUUUAUUGUAAUGUUUCAAGGGUCAGAUCAUCCAUUGCCUCAAACCCACUGAUAUCCCAGACACCAGAAAACAGUACCCACCUCUCACCAAAAGAUACUAAAGCAUGCUGUUCUUCAGAGAAAAGACUCAGCCUAACUAAUUUCUCUAGAUCCGAUACUACUGUGCAUAGCUGGUGGGAAAUACUUGUUAACUGAGUGUUUACAUGACUGAUGACUAAAUAAAAGUACAUGAGUGGGAAACAGAUAGAUGCUACCUUAAGGCCCUCAGGAGUGAGGUGGAAGUUGGACAGAUAAGAAAAUAUGCUGAUUAAAUAUGAGGAAACAUAAGAAUAAACGUCUCUGGAACAUAAGGUGUUGAGUGAACAGAAGGUCGCUACCUAUAGAAUUGUGCAGGACCUCAGGUGUUUUCAGGAAGUGUGGGUACAUACGGAUGUGUGCACAAACCUACCUAUGGAUUACCCUGUACAUGAUAUAAAAUAAAUGAGUAUACAAAGGCCCCCCUGAUAAAAUGAGAAGAGACAGACUGCAAAAUGUGG
rnacentral:lncRNA from 9 species